rnacentral:lncRNA from 1 species
AGAACAGUAACAACAACAUAUGUAAGAAAAUACAUCCACAUCAAAAAGAUAAAAUGGACUUAAUUCAAAUGGAUACAUAAAAUGCUUGCAACUUACAAAAACACAAGACUAAUACACACACCAUUACAUAAAAAAGUAGUACAAAAACCAGAAAGAAUUUACAUAGUCAAGCAAAAAAACAGAAAGGAUUUACAUAGUUGAGCAAAAAACCAGUAACCUAAUCAUAUCAGUCAGAAUCAUAAUAAGAGUAAUUAGAGCCAGAAGCUUCCUCUGCGCGAAUUACCUUAGCAUAGAAAUACCAAUUAGGAUGAGAAGCUGUUAUCGCAGGUUGCCCAAAGGGAUGUUCCUUCACGUAUGUGACGAGACCGUAACUCAAACACGACGAUCUGUCCGGCCUAGCGAACUUUCAAUGC